AUUGAACGCUGGCGGCAGGCCUAACACAUGCAAGUCGAACGAGUGGCGGACGGGUGAGUAAUGUCUGGGAAACUGCCUGAUGGAGGGGGAUAACUACUGGAAACGGUAGCUAAUACCGCAUACCAUCGGAUGUGCCCAGAGGGGAUUAGCUAGUAGGUGGGGUAACGGCUCACCUAGGCCACGAUCCCUAGCUGGUCUGAGAGGAUGACCAGCGACACUGAAACUGAGACACGGUCCAGAGUCCUACGGGAGGCAGCAGUGGGGAAGAUUGCACAAUGGGCGCAAGCCUGAUGAAGCCAUGCCGCGUGUAUGAAGAAGGCCUUCGGGUUGUAAAGUACUUUAAGCGAGGAGGCGUUAACCGCAGAAGAAGCACCGGCUAACUCCGUGCCAGCAGCCGCGGUAAUUC
rnacentral:rRNA from 1 species